rnacentral:sRNA from 1 species
GGCGGGGGCCGUUUCCAUAGCGGCGGCAGGAGGUGUCGCGCCGGGGAACUUCCUGGUUCCCGGGCUCGGCUUCGCCGGGAUCCUCUUGGAAGGGAAACAAUGGGGCGGAGGGCACUGCGGUAGCCGCCGCCGCCGCGCCGCGCCGCGCCGCGCCGGAUCUGCUCGGCCGCCCGGGACCGCCAGCUCUGUCCGCUGCCCACAGCCUAGCAGUCGGGACCGUACUGAGGACAUGUAUUCCUCUGAGAAACCUUGGACAGCAGAUUUUGGUUUAAUAUCUGAUUGGGACAACAUUCAGACCCAUUUCCAGUCAUGAAUGGAGUCUUGCCCUGUCACCCAGGCUGGAGUGCAGUGGCGCAAUCUCGGCUCACUGCAAGCUCCGCCUCCUGGGUUGACACCAUUCUCCUGCCUCAGCCUCCCAAGUAGCUGGGACUACAGGAGCCCGCCACCACGCCCAGCUAAUCUUUUUGUAUUUUUAGUAGAGACAUGGUUUCACCCUGUUAGCCAGGAUGGUCUCGAUCUCCUGACCUCGUGAUCCACCCGCCUCGGCCUCCCAAAGUGCUGGGAUUAUAGGUGUGAGCCACUACGCCCGGCCUGGAUGCUACAUUCUUAAAGGAUGCUGAUUUUAUCUUGGUUUCUUGCUUUUUUAAGUUAUCUCUCAUGUUCUUUGAUUUGCUCUAUGUUGCUUCUUUCUGUGGUCUUCUUGGGUAUACUCAAGUGUGUAUCAUACUCAAGUGUGUAUCGCAUAUGUUUAACAAAGGAAAAAUAGUGUUAAAAGAAAAAGUAUCACUUAAUAUAAGAAGCAAAACUUAGUUUUUGUUUCUAUGAUAAUGACAUCCAGGUAUGAUUUAGGUUAUUUUUCACUUUAAAUGGGCUAUUAACUUCACGUGAGAAAAAAACUGUAGAAACGUUAACUCCUGUAGAAUGAUGACUAUCUGUGGUGUAGUAAGAUCAUACAACUUCUCUACUUGUUACUGUGAGUUGCUUAAUAAAUGGCAGUACAAGUGUCAAAUCCGUAAUUAGUCAAUAUCAAGAGCUGCAUUUUGGAUUGCAUGUACUGUCCCAAAUAUAUGUUGUGCAAGUUACUUUGUAUCAUGUUAAUGGAGAAAAGAGUGGAUAUUAUGAAAUCAGCAAUAUAAAUCAAAUGUAUAUGUGGUCCUGCAAUGUAAUUGAAGGUACUCAGUCUUCUCAGACACUGAUGCAAUAUCUUGUGUUGCUUUCUCAGAUUUUUUAGGUGUAUCAUAGGGGAUAGCUGGGAACUGGUAGAGCAGAGGUACUAAGUUCCACCUGGAAAUGCUUUAGAGUAGCUCUUUGAAUAUGUCUUUACUUAUUAUCUUACAGCGUAUGUGUAUAUGAUUAUUUUCUAGAGGGUCGUACCCUUUAUUAAGCUGUGAGCUUCUUGAGGGCAAGGACUGCAAUUCAUUAAUCAUUUUGGAGAAAAGUGAAUAAUUCUGAAGAAUUCGGUGGUUCAUGAGCUUGCCUGGUAUUUGUUUCUCUAUGGCUUAUCAUCUAAGUGAGAUAACAGAUAGUAGAUAAUUGAUAAAUUUAAUCUGUUACCUAAUUACUGAGAGGAUUCAAUUCUUGCUUUAUGUUAUUACUGAAACAGACUGCCCAGUAAUCUUCUCUAGAGAGCAAUUAGGUUUGCAAUGAGUUAUUUUAUUGAGAAUGCUACUUGGAAUUAAAUGUUUAUACCACUAUCUUGAUAUAAUUUAAAUAUAAUUUAUAUGUGCUGAAGUAUCUUCAUUCAGAUAACUUGUUACCCCUUAACAAAACGCUGCUUGAGUGUUGUUUCUCUCCCAUUUGGCAAACACCAGAUGCAGUGAUUAAUAAAGGUCAUUAUGCUAC